ensembl:lncRNA
UUAAAACAUGUUAAAAAGGUGUUAAAAACUCCUGCAAAAAUCAAUGAGGUUUGUUCUUGCGUGUCACAAGGUGCUAACAACUUGCUAAACAUGCUAGAAACAUGCUAGCAACAUGCUAGUAACUUGCUAAUUAUGCUAACAUGCUAGUAACUUGUUAAUCAUGCUACUAACAAUAUAGUAACAUGUUAAUCAUACUAACAACAUGCUAGUAACAUCCUAGAAACCACCCUGAGAAAUCUAGCAACCGCAUAGCAACACCUUAUCAACCCCCCGGUUACCAUAGCAACCACUGGGUACCAUUGCAACACCUUAGCAACCACCCCGAGUAGCUUAGCAACUACCUAACAGCACCCCAGCUACCCUAGCAACCGCAUAGUGACAACCUAGCAACCACCCUGGGUACCUUAGCAACCACAUAGCAACACCCUAGCAAACAACCCAGGUAGCCUAGCAACACCCUAGAAACCACUCUGGGUGCCCUAGCAACCGCAUAGCAGCACCCUAACAACAGUCCUGGGUACAUUAGCAACUGCAUAGCAACACUUUAGCAACCCCCCAGUGACCAUAGCAACCGCAUAGUAACACCCUAGCAACCACCUUGAGUACCGUAGCAACCACAUAGCAACACCCUAGCAACAGCCUGGGUAUUAUAACAACCACAUAGUAACACCCUAGCAACCACCCAAAGUACCUUAAAAACCGCAUAAACACACUAGCAACCACCCCAGGUAGCCUAGCAACACCCCAGCUACCCUAGCAACCGCAUAGUAACACCCUAACAACCACCCUGAGUACCUUGGCAAUCACAUAGCAACACCAUAGUUAAUGGUUAAUUAAUUAGGUUAAUAUUUAUGUUCACAGAAUAAUGUUUAUAUUUGCAUAAAAGCCUAAAUUAAAUCUGUUCAUCAUAUAAAGCAAUCAUGUCUCUUCAGAAGACUUAGCUUAAACCACUUAAUUCAUAUGGAUUUAGUUUUUGAUCUCUUUACGAAUGUUUUGAAGUGUCAGAGUUUCAGUGGAAGAACAGAAAUCUCUCCAAUUGAAUUAAAAGUAUCUUCAGUUGUGUUCUGAAGAUGAAUACAUUUCUUAAGGUUUUGGAACGACAUGAGGGUACGUAAAUAAUGACAAUUUUAAUUUUAAGAUAAACUAACACCAAAUUUAUUAUUGUGACUGUAAUUCAAGUUCAAUAUUCUAUUUUAUAAUUCAGCUGAUCUCAUCAUUAAAUCCAACUGAUAAUUUAAUUUUGUGAUAUUCCAAAAGAAUUGAACGCUUCUAGCCAGUCAGCUUCAAUAAUUCAAUAUGACAAGCAUAGAUUGAGGGGGGACAUUUCCAGUCUUAUGGUCAGGUGAGACAGCAACCUAAUUAGUCAGUGCUUAUUUUGGGGUUUACUGGCCCUUUAACUCCAAGCUAUUGAAAUGUCACUCCGGGUGACCCUGCGACAGGGUGAGAAUGUCAUUUGUAAACACACAGGGACUAUGAGACCCCCAGCUAGGUUAUUAGUAAUGACAGCUGACUGACAGGAAUGAGGGAAUACUGCAACUUGGAAUUAUAAGCAACUAUGUCUCAUUUAGGACUGGAUUAUAGGCAUCUGUUUUUCUAAUCGUUUCACUUGGCAUGGCCCAUAGCGUAUUCCACCAUCAUCUUCAUUGCAAUUUACUGAGAUAACACUAUCAACUUAUUAAUGUACUCUGAGCAUCAACUCUUUGGACUACGCUUGGCCGUACUCAGCCAGCUAACAUCAUUCUAAUCCUGAUGGUUACUCUUCUCUAGCAUGAUGGAUUUAUUAGGGGACUGCAUGACUUACUGCUAAAGAAUGGGCCUUGCCACUAAGUCAGGCGGUGUGAGGAAGACAAGUGUAUCUCAAGUCCUAAUUCUUAACUCAAUCAUCUGCUAGCGAUGUGAAUUGCAUUAUGGAUCAUUCUGACAAGACAGCCCGCCCCAGUCUCGGACAUGAAUUUCGACAGGGAUUCCAAUAUGCUAAGCAGGAGUGUGUCAGAGAGGUUAAUAUACAUGAGAAAAAGCUCCUUAAAGUUCCUAUCUGUCUUGCCUGCCUGAAAGUCUAGAUAUUCUAAUGACCAUUGCUAAUAAAAAUGCAAAGGAAUCAAUUAGUUUAAUUAAAUCUGGCAACACUCACUGACUUCUAAUGUUUAAGGUCAGCAAGUAAUUCUCAAUCAGAGACAUGAAUGUACAUGCAUACAUAACGUGCUCAUGGGUGUACUCAGUAGGCAGUGUUGUACUGAUAAAGAUCAUGUUUCAACUCUAAAGUUGAUGUGUA